AACCCACUAACUUUGAAAAGUUAGGGGAUGACCUGUGGCUAGGAGUGAAAGGCUAAUCAAACCGGGAGAUAGCUGGUUCUCCCCGAAAUCUAUUUAGGUAGAGCCUCGCACGAACACCAUUGGGGGUAGAGCACUGUUAAGGCUAGGGGGUCAUCCCGACUUACCAACCCUUUGCAAACUCCGAAUACCGUAAAGUAAUAUCCGGGAGACA
rnacentral:rRNA from 12 species